AAAACUCAGAGCCAGAUAUCCCUCAGUCCAGAACACUCCUUCAUCCUGAAGUUUUCCUUUAAUGACUGAUCUAUAUCUGCUCUGUUCAGUGGCUGCCUUGUCAGGAUUUUCAGGAGGGAGGCCAUGCAAGCUGAGUGCUGCGCUGAGUGCAUGCAAGCUGAGUGAUGCACAGGGACUCCUGCACUUCAAAGAAGACCCACAAGUUCAGUCUGUCCAGAGCAUCCUGCACUGGAACACACACACCAACCACCCACUCCAGAAACAGGUGUGCAGCUGCCACUGAAAUCAACUGGAAAUGUACCUCUGUGGCUGAGGACAAAACAUGACCUCUGAGCAAUUGCUAGCAGGCAAGAAAACACUGCACAGAAAGCAGCCUCCUUUUCAAGGAGCUUAAGAAACAUUGAUUGCAGCUUGCCAGGAACUGGACAAAACAGUAAAUCCCUUGACUACCUGUUAUUUAUGGACAGAGUGAGGAAAAAGGUUUGUUUGAUUGGAAUAAUCUUCAUAGUUUUAAUGAUCCAGUGUAAGCUGUCAACAAGAUUUUGCGGGAUUUCUUCAGAUUUUUAGUGUCUUUGCUUUGUUUGUGCUGUUUGCAUCCAAAGGCCUAGGAUUUCCUGUAUCCCCCUGCUUCAGAAAUGUGCAGUAAUUGAUAGACACCUGGGCUCAAGGAGAUAAUAGCAUCACAGAAUGAUCUGAGUUGGAAGGGACUCUUAAAGGUCACCUUGUCCAACUCCCUACAACGAACAGAUACAUGGUACAUGAAGUUGCAUGGCAUUCCUUUCAUCUUCUGUAUAUGAAACACUACAUGGUAGCAUUUGCUGGAAGGAAAAUACUACAGUUUUGUUAAAAACAAGUUCAUAGAUUUCCCUCAUAAUCUCUUGUUAUGUGAGGGAAGUUUAGCCUGUGACAACUGAGAAGGUAAGAGAGAUGCUAAAGACAAGGAAUGCACGUUGAAAAGAAUGUGACUACUAAAGCACUGUUUAAAGGGAUGGUGCCAUUUGGGGCAGUUUCCUCCUCUUCUGUUUUGUUUUCACUUUUUGUGAUGAAUUCCUUAUGUAUUCAGCCUUUUCAGUCCUUAAUUUCUAACCACUGCUUUAUUCUUUAUAAAUAAAUAAAUAAGUCUCUUCCAGAAUAAAAUGGCUUUGGUCAUGCAGCCUCUUUUAUUUAUUGUC